rnacentral:lncRNA from 1 species
UAUUAUAAUUAUGAAACUGUAGUGUAGACCAGUAUGUUUUGGUUUGUAUAGUCAAAAGACAACGUUGUUUGUAUAAAUGAUUUGUCCGAAUCGAAAUGUGAAGUUUGAAGUGAAAAAUUGCAAUAUAGCACAACAGUUGGUUGGUAUAAGUUUAAACUAAAAUGUGAUGAAACUACAGAAAUUGGUAUAAUAACAUCAGGUUAAGUAAAAACUUAUAAACUAGAUUGCAUGCAUAACAUAACUUCAAAGGAGGUUGGUAUUUUCAUUUUACCGUUUUUUUUUUAAUAUUUUGUUGCAUUAUUAAAAUAAAAUAAAGAUCGCUUGCACAGUAGAAGAGAACAAAAACUUAAAGCUUUAGUUAAAAAAGCAAAAAGUAGACUAGUUAAUGUAGGCUUUAAAAAUAUAUGAGUUAAAAUAUACAAUAAAGUCAUUUUUAAAUAUAUCUACUUUGUUUUGUUAUGCUCAUAUAAUGCUCAUCCAGAGAGAGGAGCCAGAUGAAGUUUAAAUUUUGUAAAGAUUCUUGUUAUAUAAUGCAUGAACAUUCUGGUUAUAUAAUGCAUGUCAUUAUACAAAUAUUAUGAAAGUAACAACGAAUGUAAAUUAUGACUUUUUAAAUUAACUUUUAUUAUUCUGCCAUCAUAGAUAAUUUUCUUGGAUUUGUCAAUAUUGUACCGUUCAUGACAACUUUAUGCUAAUAGUUUUUUUAAUACAUAAUAUAAUCUAAAUCAUCAAGUUGCAUAGAUGGCAAUUUGUUAAACAAAUUUCUUAUUUUUUUUUUAAUAUUAUUAUUUUGUUUAUUAAUAUCAUUAAUAUUAUAAUUAUUUAUUUACUUUAAUUCUAUUAAUUAUUUAUUAUAUUCUUAUUUAUAGUAUCUAUUAAAAAGUUAGGACUUAUAAAAAAAAGAAAAAGUUAUUAAAAGUUGCUAUCAGAAUGCUCAAAUUAGAGCUAAGGUUUCUUAACAGAGACUUCAAAACAGCAAAAAAUUUAUUAAAAAGAAGAAAGAUAGUUAGGGAAAAAGCUCUUUACGAACAGCUUUUUCCCUAACUUUCUUUUUUCUAUUUUUUUUUUUUUAAUAUUUCAGUAUAUUUGUUGAGUAUCUAAUCAGAUUUGUUUAGACUAGUUUACAUUAGUUUGUCUAAUAACUCUAACCUCUUAGUUGUAUUCAUGUCUUCUUUUUAAGAUUUUAAUUAAGAUUUUGUUUAUCACAUUUUUUGGCCAUGAUUUCAUUAUUUUUUUUAGUUUGUGAUUUGAGUAUUCCAUUAAUUUAGUUGAUUUAUAAUUUUAUUGUAUUUUUACUGUUUUUUUUUUUUGUUUUUUUAAGAUUUGGCAGGUUAGCAGGUUAAUGGCAAAUUAAAGAACAUAGUUUUACUUGACCUUAUCUAAAACAAAACAAACAAAAGAAAAUGGAUUUUAAAUAUUUAUGAGGUUAGAAGAAUUGCUAAAGUUGGUGGUGUGAUUGUAAAUCGUUUUAAAUAGGCUGAUGAAUAAUCAUCUGAUGAGUGAUUUCAAUAUGAAGGGUAGGCAUGGAAAGCAGCCCUUUGGUGUUACUUGCCUUUAUAAAAUAAUAAAAACAAACGCUCUUAAUUUAAACAUUUGCAAUGAGGAGGAUGUCGACGAUGCCAUUUCAAAGCACCUUAAGCAUGUGCCAAAGAGAAAAGGUGGACGUAAAUUCACCGAAAAAAAUGUUUUAUAACGAUAUUUUAAAAUGUUUAUGUAACGUAAUUGUUUAUAAAUGUAUUAAAAUACAGUUAUAUUUUUAGUC